rnacentral:rRNA from 1 species
GAUGAACGCUGGCGGCGUGCCUAAUACAUGCAAGUCGAGCGAACGGACGAGAAGCUUGCUUCUCUGAUGUUAGCGGCGGACGGGUGAGUAACACGUGGAUAACCUACCUAUAAGACUGGGAUAACUUCGGGAAACCGGAGCUAAUACCGGAUAAUAUUUUGAACCGCAUGGUUCAAUAGUGAAAGACGGUCUUGCUGUCACGUAUAGAUGGAUCCGCGCUGCAUUAGCUAGUUGGUAAGGUAACGGCUUACCAAGGCAACGAUGCAUAGCCGACCUGAGAGGGUGAUAGGCCACACUGGAACUGAGACACGGUCCAGACUCCUACGGGAGGCAGCAGUAGGGAAUCUUCCGCAAUGGGCGAAAGCCUGACGGAGCAACGCCGCGUGAGUGAUGAAGGUCUUCGGAUCGUAAAACUCUGUUAUUAGGGAAGAACAUAUGUGUAAGUAACUGUGCACAUCUUGACGGUACCUAAUCAGAAAGCCACGGCUAACUACGUG